rnacentral:rRNA from 1 species
GUACUGAGACACGGACCAGACUCCUACGGGAGGCAGCAGUGAGGAAUAUUGGACAAUGGAGGCAACUCUGAUCCAGCCAUGCCGCGUGCAGGAUGACUGCCCUAUGGGUUGUAAACUGCUUUUAUACAGGAAGAAUUGUGCCUACGUGUAGGCAUUUGACGGUACUGUACGAAUAAGGAUCGGCUAACUCCGUGCCAGCAGCCGCGGUAAUACGGAGGAUCCAAGCGUUAUCCGGAAUCAUUGGGUUUAAAGGGUCCG